GAUGAACGCUAGCGGCAGGCCUAACACAUGCAAGUCGAGGGGUAGCAGGGUAGCAAUAUCGCUGACGACCGGCGCACGGGUGAGUAACGCGUAUGCAACCUUCCUUUAACUGGGGCAUAGCCCGGAGAAAUUCGGAUUAAUACCCCAUAAUAUUUCAGGAACACAUGUUUUUGGAAUUAAAGCUCCGGCGGUUAAAGAUGGGCAUGCGUGCCAUUAGCUAGUUGGUGAGGUAACGGCUCACCAAGGCUACGAUGGUUAGGGGGUCUGAGAGGAUGAUCCCCCACACUGGUACUGAGACACGGACCAGACUCCUACGGGUGGCAG
rnacentral:rRNA from 1 species